AUUGAACGCUGGCGGCAGGCCUAACACAUGCAAGUCGAACGAGUGGCGGACGGGUGAGUACUGUCUGGGAAACUGCCCGAUGGAGGGGGAUAACUACUGGAAACGGUAGCUAAUACCGCAUACCAUCGGAUGUGCACAGAUGGGAUUAGCUUGUAGGUGAGGUAACGGCUGACCUAGGCGACGCACCCUAGCCGUUCUGAGCGGAUGACCAGCCACACUGUAACUGCGACACGGUCCAGACUCCUACGGGAGGCAGUAGUGGGGAAUAUUGCACAAUGAGCGCAAGCCUGAUGCAGCCAUGCCGCGUGUAUGAAGAAGGCCUUCGGGUUGUAAAGUACUUUCAGCGGGGAGGCGUUACCCGCAGAAGAAGCACCGGCUAACUCCGUGCCAGCAGCCGCGGUAAUAC
rnacentral:rRNA from 1 species